rnacentral:SRP_RNA from 1 species
GCCGGGCAUGGUGGCUCAUGCCUGUAAUCCCAGCACCUUGGGAGGCUGAGGUGGGUGGAUCACCUGAGGCCAGGAGUUGGAGACCAGCCUGGCUAACAUGGUGAAACCUCGUCUCUA